rnacentral:lncRNA from 1 species
UCAAGACUAUUUGUAUCGUAGAUCAUGUGAAAGAGGAGAUGCGGCAGAAUCCAAGAUUAAAAGCUAUCGUCUUUUUACAAUCCGUUGGCCAUAGCUAACAUUGCCACGGGAGCGAAUGUGCGAAUUAGGUCCGAUCGACGAUAUUGAACGCUUAUGGAGACGAUCAUGAUGUCGUUGUCGCCAUUUUGAAUGAUAUUUCAAACAUUUUUCUGCAUCAACUGCGGCUUCCGUUCCUGUUCAUAAUUCUUCUCCUUUCUUCUACUGGAUCCACCGUUGUCGUUUUUCGUUGAUCAUUCGAAAUCAAUUUUGCCGCUCCUUUUUGCCCUUUCCCUAUUCAUCUUUUCAUCGUGUUUUUAGCCCCUCUUUUGAAUCCUCGCGCCCGACUGGACGAAUCCAUCUAUCGUCCGAGUAUUUUUUGCCGGCCGGUCAGCCAAGUCGUUGAAGCUCGUAGCGUUGAGGCUUGCCAGAGACAGCAGCAGAAGCAGCAGCAGAAUCAAUAACUAGAGAAACAUCAACAAGUGGCAUUGCACCCCGCCGAAACGAGGGCUGUCAGGCAGCACAACCACGAUGACGCGAGUCGAGAGCGCGCACUAGAGCUCUGGGGCCGGGGAGCUGCCGCCUGUCCGGCAAGGCGCCUGGCUAACGAUGCUUUAAUCGUAAUCUGCUAACAGGCGAUCCUGCCAACUUAAGCGAAGGCUAUUGAGACAUUCCGACUUCAAUUGGACUGAAUUCGAUAGCAGCACGAGGGUUUACAGGACAGGUUUAUUCUGAUGACUGCUUGACCGAGCGCACACUUUGCGCAAGCCAGUACUGACGGCGACCAAAUACACAGCGUCGCGUCUGUCGCCGAUGCGAAUUCUCGUUCGCGACCGGCUAUAUCGCCUUGCUUCGAUUUCCCCUUCCCAACGCCCGGGUCAGACCGCCCAUUCGCUCAAAAAUCGGUGAUCAGCAUGGCAUUGGACGAAGAGGCUGUCACUGAGGACGGAGAACCUCUUGUUGUCGGCGGAAUGCGCUUCAGCUCGUAGCACCAGCUGUUAUCAGUUAAACAACAACAACCACAGCCAUCUCGAUAACAACGACAGCAACAGCAUAAAGGACAGGUGGUGAUUUUUUGUAACAUAGAGAAGGAUUCAGCCGUUCGAUUUAGGCCUUCUCGAUAAAUCGACUUCUCUUCCUUUGAUUGCGCGACUGACUUCAACUGCUGGCCUGCGCGUUCAUGAUCCCGUUUAGAACGUCGAACACUUUUCGAAUUUUACCGCCGCUGCCGCCGCCGCCGCCGCCGCCGCCGCCGUUAGGGCGCGAAUAUGCGCAAACAUUCAGCCUCGCCGGUUGAGAAAUCAAUAACGGACUCGUUGUGAUCGAAGUUCGAACCCGGACAUAGACACGGGUCAUUUUGUGCUGGGAACGAGCCAUGUGACGAAAUUACGCCCGACGACUCGAAGCAUGAAGAAGUGCACACGGCAAAAUCCCGCUGAUAGAGUGAUUGGCUUGUUUAGAGGCGUGUCUUACCAGGUGAAUUGACUCGCGAUCAUUAGCCAAACGGAAGAGUUAGAGGCAGUAUGCCUGCCUGUCAAGCGCGACAUCAGCCGCUCAAAAGUAAUCGGGAACUCCCCGGGUGGCCUCUGGUUAAAGCGUCGUUAACGGUAAGCUGCUGCUAACUAAGUUACGCAGCAACCUAGCGACUCAGUCGUGAUUCACCCAGCCAGCGGCAAGAGGAUAAGGGAUCGUUGUGAAAAGAAGUCUCAGUCGAGCUGACUACUGAACUCUCGUCAAAUCGUCUUCUCGGAGUAAAUGCCGCAGCAGUCUUAGUUCCGCUGAAGUGGCUUCUGCGAUGGACAAAUUCACGGGGUCUCUGCAAUGGUAGUAGCUGUUUGUCACAUUUGUACCCAAGAGGAUCGUUGCUUGCAUCGUCCUUACUGAAGCACAAAUUAGGAGAUGCAUAUACUUGGUGUGCGUGUAGAAACAGCUGUCGCGAUCCCAUAUAACUGUGUAACCGAUUUGGUAUGACGCCAACGCAUUCAGACCUUUGUCUUAUACAAACGCAAUUCAAUGGAUCAACGUCGAGACAAAAUCCGCAACGCAGUAGAUGUUUACACUGGCUACUACUUGUAGCGACGUAGGUUUUUCCGCUGCUAACUGUGUGUGCACGUCAGUAAACGCCCUUGCAGGACGUUUAGCAUCAGUUCCUCCGAUGAAAGUAACUACAGGAUAUAGCAAGCACAGCUGGUGAUAAUGCACUAACAAGCUUAAUAAUAAACUAAAUUAAAAGUAAAACAAAUAUUCAGAACGGCUUCGAGUGAUGGCCGUUUGUCGAACAUACAUGUAGGCCCUCCUAGUCGACGCGAGAAAAUUGCGCUUGACAAUGGAAACUGGACUCUAAUCUUCCAUUUCUCGUUGCUUGUUUAGCAAGGUAAACGCGC